rnacentral:rRNA from 1 species
CAGCGGCGGACGGGUUAGUAGCGCGUGGGAACGUGCCCUUUGCUCCGGAAUAGCCCUGGGAAACUGGGGGUAAUACCGGAUGUGCCCUGAGGGGGAAAGGUUUAUCCGGCAAGGGAUCGGCCCGCGUCCGAUUAGGUAGUUGGUGGGGUAAUGGCCCACCAAGCCUUCGAUCGGUAGCUGGUUUGAGAGGAUGAUCAGCAACACUGGGACUGAGACACGGCCCAGACUCCUACGGGAGGCAGCAGUGGGGAAUCUUAGACAAUGGGGGCAACCCUGAUCUAGCCAUGCCGCGUGGAUGAUGAAGGCCUUAGGGUCGUAAAGUCCUUUCGCCGGGGAAGAUAAUGACGGUACCCGGUAAAGAAGCCCCGGCUAACUCCGUGCCAGCAGCCGCGGUAAU